GGAAGUAAAAGUCGUAACAAGGUUUCCGUAGGUGAACCUGCGGAAGGAUCAUUAUUGAAAUAAACCUGAUGAGUUGCUGCUGGUUCUCUAGGGAGCAUGUGCACGCUUGUCAUCUUUAUAUCUCCACCUGUGCACCUUUUGUAGACCUGGAUAUAUCUCUCUGAAUGCUCGCCACUCAGGUUUGAGGAUUGACUUUAUGUCUCUCCUUGCAUUUCCAGGCCUAUGUUUCUUUAUAUACCCCAAUGUAUGUCAUAGAAUGUAAUCAAUGGGCCUUUGUGCCUAUAAACCUAUACAACUUUCAGCAACGGAUCUCUUGGCUCUCGCAUCGAUGAAGAACGCAGCGAAAUGCGAUAAGUAAUGUGAAUUGCAGAAUUCAGUGAAUCAUCGAAUCUUUGAACGCACCUUGCGCUCCUUGGUAUUCCGAGGAGCAUGCCUGUUUGAGUGUCAUUAAUAUAUCAACCUCUUCAGAUUUUAUUUGUUGAGUGUUGGAUUUGGGGGUCUUUUUUGCUGGUCUUCUAAAGAUCAGCUCCCCUGAAAUGCAUUAGCAGAACGAUUUGUGGACCGUUCAUUGGUGUGAUAACUAUCUACGCUAUUGACGUGAAACAGUUCAGCUUCUAACAGUCCAUUGACUUGGACAAAUUUUCAUUAAUGUGACCUCAAAUCAGGUAGGACUACCCGCUGAACUUAAGCAUAU
rnacentral:rRNA from 1 species